rnacentral:miRNA from 1 species
UGAGGCAGGAGAAUUGCUUGAACCCAGGAGGUGGAGGUUGCAGUGAGCCGAGAUUGCACCACUGCACUGCAGCCUGGGUGACACAGCGAGACUCCAUCUC